UACGUAGGGUGCAAGCGUUGUCCGGAAUUAUUGGGCGUAAAGAGCUCGUAGGCGGUUUGUCGCGUCUGCUGUGAAGACUCGGGGCUUAACUCCGGGCCUGCAGUGGGUACGGGCAGACUAGAGUGCGGUAGGGGAGACUGGAAUUCCUGGUGUAGCGGUGAAAUGCGCAGAUAUCAGGAGGAACACCUGCGGUGUAGACGGCUUUCUGGACCACUACUGACACUGAGACACGAAAGCGUGGGUAGCAAACAGG
rnacentral:rRNA from 1 species